ACCAGGGGUGAAGUCAAGUUGUCCUUGAUACAUUUUGUUUUUCAAAGUUGCAUGCUUAUAGUUGUUAAUAGGAAACCCAUGUUAGGUUAUAUCUUAGUUUCUCCAUAUGUACCUUGUUGUCUUGGUUUUGGUGGGAUCAAGGGUAGUAUUGCUUAGCCUUCUUGGUAGUCGGAUCAUGACACUUGGUACAAUAAUUUUGAUAAUGGUACUAUGCAACAUAAGAUAAAAUUGGUGUUAAUAUUUUUAGCAACAUGGGCUAGAAAAUUGAGCAAGAGGAUGGUUUGGAUCGCCAGUGCAGGUGGAUGGUAAUCUUGCUCGAUUUGAUGGUACAAUUGGACCAAGCUUUACAGUACAACCAUAAGCCUAGUAUAGGACGGGUCUGGCUAACUAAUUGGUUUCUCCAAACAUAAUGUAGACUAGAUGGUGGAACAGGGAACGAAAUGAUAAUUUCCCUAGAUUCGUAUGGUGCAAGAGGGGACUUCCGUUGUUGAGGUAUUAUUCACGCGGUAGUAAAACCUUAGCGGAUAGACACUUGUUGGGAGAGAUCUUGUAAAGGUCUUAUAGUGAUUUUCUAGCGGCACACCUCAGAAUUGUGUAAGUGUUUAGUUGACAUGGGCAAACGAAAAAAUAACGACUUGUAGGUAUAGUAUACAUCCUCUACAUAGUGUAAAAUUGAUUAAUCAACUAUGCUUGUGGUUAUGAACAGUGAGGAAUGCAACACAUGAUUAUAAUACACUUUUAAUGGUUUGGUGGUUCAUUCAUGGUUGCAAGAAACAUGUUUGAGGUGAUCAACUUCGGUUGAGGUGGGUUAUGUCAAGAUGAGUAAUUAUUGAGUCAGGGAAGAUUAUGAGGAUUAAUCUGGGGAUGGAGAAUUCUAAGGUGGUGCUCUAUAUCGACUGCGAGAUGCAUAAUAAGAAAAUUACGCUAGCUUUAAAGUUUUAUUUGCUUUUUGACCUUCAAAGGUCCUAUUUGUAAUAACAAAUAUUCACGUUAAGUUAUGACAUUGUGAUUUGUUAUCAUCUUUGAAGCCUAUUUAUAUUGAGUUCGAUUACUUUCUCAAUAUAUGGUAUGAGUAUUGGUCU